rnacentral:lncRNA from 1 species
AUGGGUGACGACUUGUGGACUACCGUGAAGGAAGCCAUGUGGAAUUGCCACAGAAGCCAAGGCAUAGAGAGUACUAUUCAGGAAAUUAUAGCAUUACUGUAUCUGGGAUGCAUGACAAGAAUAAGUUCAGGAAGGCUCCAAGGGGAAAGCGGUUCCAGAAGAAGUGAUGGUAGGCCUAGAGAGCUCUCUGAGCUAGUCCAGCCAUCCAGUUGGCCUGAGGUAAGAAACUGGGGAGGUUGGAGAGAGGUAGAACUAAUAGCACAGCACAAUAAAACUCACAAGGAAGUGCUGGUUCAGAGUCCCCUAUCAGAGAAAGAAAAAUUGAGGCAAAAUGCAGUUUCUCUUCACUCCCCUGAUAAUAAAACAAAUUUACAGGAUCUCAUCAAAACUAUGGAAGAAAGACAAGUUCUGAAAACUUCCUGGUGUGCAAGGCAUAACAAAGAAAAUGUAUUGUACAGCACUUAUGUAUGUAAAUGUCCAUAAUGUCUUUGAUAUGACUUUUAUCUAGUGGGCCUGUUACUGAGUCCAAGGUUACACUGCUGCCCCACAACAGGCCAAUAAAUCCAGAGACAAGAUGCUGGGGCAGGGAAUAGCAACUUUAUUCUGAAAACCAGCAGGUCAGGAAAACAGUGGACUAGUGUCCCAAAGAAUCAUCUUACCUAAGUUAGAAUUUAUACUAAAAGGGGAGGCGGUGUGGCUGGUUGUUGGGAAAUUUCGGUGCUGGAAUCCUUUGUUCUUGCAGCCACAUAGGUUCAGUCACAAUAUUCCCAUAAACCUCUAACAAGGCAAAUGUUAUUCUCUGUUCUGCAACUUUUUAUCUCUAUGUGAUAAGCAUCUCUAUAUUCAGAGCAUUAAGAAUGGGCUAUCAUGUAUAUUUCAGGCUAUAGGCAACAUUCUUUUACAAAAGGUAUAGAGACAGCAUGACUAAGCACAGGCAACAGAGCACCAGGGUUAGAGCUCAAGGAAUAGAUCCAAUAUGGAGUCAGAUCUGUUCUUCUCUGUUACAAGCUGUUUUAUAUUAGUGAACAUUUUUUAAAUGUGCUUUUUUUGGGCUUCCUCCUGCCCUAUUUUGGUUCCUGUCUCCAUGUUUCUCAUGAAGUGUUUCAGUUCCUCAGCCACACGUUCUCUUGGCAUAGUUUUCGGGAACAUAAAUUUCAAGAUUGGCAAAGGGAUACUGUACCUUACCCAUUCCAUCUGAACAUUAUUACGAUGCCACAAAAUCACCUAUUUUCAUAAUAAAAUAUACCAUGCUUCUUUUUAUUAAUAAUUGAAAAUGAACAGAAAUAUUGUUAUUUGUUUGAGAAGGGCUCCAUUGUUUUUCUUUAGAAUGUUAAUUUCCUGCUUUGCAUUUCCUUCCUCAUAGAUAAAUGCAGAGAACAUGUCUCUUCUUGGGAAAAGUGGGCAUUCUUGAAGAAGUAAAAGAUUGACCUCAUUGUAUACAUUUAAUAAAUACUAUUUUUUUCCAAAGUAUGGUUAAUGACAGGUUGGAUAAUCUCUUGAUUUGGGAACUGAGUUCUACUACAUUUAAUACAAUCCCAAAUGACUAAGACGUGAACCAGAGAACACUGAGUCUGGAGGUUCGCAGUUUCUGGUAUCAUUUCUGUGGCUCAAAAGUGUGAGGGUCAAAGUUUCUCCGUUGUUUCUUACCAUCAUGAUUAUAACAUGGAUAACUGUGGAUCUAACCAUCACAUUCAAAUUCCAGGAAGGAAGCGGGAAAGAGAAAAGGCAAAGUCCAAGAGGCCAAGCCAGCCAAAUCUUUCCCUUUAAAGGGACUUUCCUAAAAAUCCUGCUUCUCUCUGGCCAGGAUGGUAUCACACAACCUCCUAGCUGCAAGGAAAUUGGGAAAUAUAUUUGUUUGUUUUUUUCAGCUGGGUAUAUUGCCACUUCCAGCAAAAGUAGGAAGGAAGAAAGGGAAAAUAGUUACUGAUCAAAAAAUUGGCACUCUGUACCCCUCCUUUUUAUUUAAUUUUUUGGCCUUUCCACAGCAUAUGGAAGUUCCCAGGCCACGGACUGAAUCUGAGCCACAGCUGUGAUGCUUCAGCUGUGGCAACACCGAAUCCUUAACCCACUGUGUCAGGCCAGGAAUCAAACCUGCAUGCCAGCACUCCAGGGACACUGCCGAUCCUGUUGCACCACAGAGAGAGCUCCACCACAACCUUUUCUUGGAAAAAUAUCAUCUUAUUUCAAGAUCAUGUCUGCAAGCUGAUGGUUGCUUUUUAAUUAUAAGAAUAAUAAAUGGGGCCUUCACAAAAUGGCCCCACCGCUGCUUUCAGUCCCUAGUGGACUGAGUUGUAAUUGCUGGUUGAAUUAUUCUGCUAUUACUAAAGCAAGUCGCAUUGCCUUCUCUUGGGGGAAUAGCUUUAGAAUAGCUUCUAAAAGAAAAAUAAAAGAAUUUAAAACACUACCUAU